AAGACUAUAGACCUGCGGAGUACCUGCGGAAGGAUCAUUAAUGAAUAAAACUUUUGAGGAUGUUGCUGGCCUUAUCUUUUGGGACGGGGCAGGUGCACUCUUCAUAUGUGUUCUUUUGACCCAACUUUUACCAACCAAGUGCACCCUUUGUAGGUUGGACUUUCUGUUCCAACCUAUGUUCUAUUCAUUUGCUCCGUAGAAUGUUGUUUGAAUGUUAAAUUUUUGAUAAUAUACAACUUU
rnacentral:misc_RNA from 1 species